AGCAGCCGCGGUAAUUCCAGCUCCAAUAGCGUAUAUUAAAGUUGUUGCAGUUAAAAAGCUCGUAGUUGAAUUUCGAGACCGGUUUAUUGGUCGUGCUUUUUGUACGUACUGGUAUUAUUGGUUUCUCCUUUCUGACGAAUCUUAAUGCCAUUAAUUUGGUGUUUUGGGGAAUCAGGACUGUUACUUUGAAAAAAAUUAGAGUGUUUAAAGCAGGCUCACGCUUGAAUACAUUAGCAUGGAAUAAUGAAACAGGACGUUUGAUUCUAUUUUGUUGGUUUCUAGGAUCGACGUAAUGAUUAAUAGGGAUAGUUGGGGGCAUUAGUAUUCAAUUGUCAGAGGUGAAAAUUCUUGGAUUUAUUGAAGACUAACUACUGCGAAAAGCAUUUGCCAAGGAUGUUUUCAUUAAUCAAGAACGAAAAGUUAGGGGAUCGAAGACGAUCAGAUACCGUCGUAGUCUUAACCAUAAACUAUGCCGACUAGGGAUCGGAUGAUGUUAAAUUUUUUUAAAUGACUCAUUCGG
rnacentral:rRNA from 1 species